rnacentral:lncRNA from 1 species
ACCUAACCUCACCUUUUUCUUUAGCCAAUAAGAAAGUUGCCAUAGCUAUAUGCAGGCUCAUACCUGACAUCUGUGGGUGUCCAACCACUUUCUUCCUCCAGCUCCAUCCUACACUUGGGGUCCUGCAUGCAUGGGUGAAGACACCAGCACACGGUGAGAGCACAGUCAACACUCAAAAAGAGAGAGCCACAGAAGACUCCCCUGCGGGCUUGGGUCAGAGGCUCAAGGCCCCUAAGGACCUAGGGAAUUCUGAGAUUCUGGGGACUCAGAUGGGCUCUAGAGAGCACCUUACAAGAGCCCUGGAACAGCAGCACAGGCAGUGUAUUUGCAGGCUGUCAGAGGAGGAGCAAGGAACAGGGACCUGACAGUUUCAAGAAAGUGCUAUGAGUCCUGCGAUCAGCAGUUCCACUCAGGACCAGCAGAGAGGUGAAUGGAAAAUGAAGAGAGGUUGGAAGUCCAGGCAUUGACUGUCUAUGUUGUCAAGGAAGAGUGGGGAGGGGGAAAUUAGUCUGUGGUCACCGAUAAAGAAGGUGAGUUCCAAGGCACCUGGGUGGCUCAGUCAGUUAAGA